UCUCAUGAUGUCAGCAGUUUCCAGAGCAA
rnacentral:piRNA from 1 species